AAUGUUUGCACAAAAGUUUUGGCUUGGGUUAGAGUGGAGGGAAGAAGAAGAAUGGCUAAAGUCCUAAUCAUACAAGAGAUAAGGGAUAAGAAACAAGACCACAAAUGGAGUUCCUCUCUUGAGAUCAUAUUGAUGAUCCAAGUAGCUCCCAUCCUUUGAAAUAUGCAAGCAAAAUACUAGUAAGCUCAGGCAACAAUCAAACAAGCCUCUUA
rnacentral:lncRNA from 1 species